rnacentral:rRNA from 1 species
GCAGUCGAGCGGAACGACUUAACUGAACCUUCGGGGAACGUUAAGGGCGUCGAGCGGCGGACGGGUGAGUAAUGCCUAGGAAAUUGCCCUGAUGUGGGGGAUAACCAUUGGAAACGAUGGCUAAUACCGCAUGAUGCCUACGGGCCAAAGAGGGGGACCUUCGGGCCUCUCGCGUCAGGAUAUGCCUAGGUGGGAUUAGCUAGUUGGUGAGGUAAUGGCUCACCAAGGCGACGAUCCCUAGCUGGUCUGAGAGGAUGAUCAGCCACACUGGAACUGAGACACGGUCCAGACUCCUACGGGAGGCAGCAGUGGGGAAUAUUGCACAAUGGGCGCAAGCCUGAUGCAGCCAUGCCGCGUGUGUGAAGAAGGCCUUCGGGUUGUAAAGCACUUUCAGUCGUGAGGAAGGUGGUGUAGUUAAUAGCUGCAUUAUUUGACGUUAGCGACAGAAGAAGCACCGGCUAACUCCGUGCCAGCAGCCGCGGUAAUACGGAGGGUGCGAGCGUUAAUCGGAAUUACUGGGCGUAAAGCGCAUGCAGGUGGUUUGUUAAGUCAGAUGUGAAAGCCCGGGGCUCAACCUCGGAAUAGCAUUUGAAACUGGCAGACUAGAGUACUGUAGAGGGGGGUAGAAUUU